rnacentral:rRNA from 1 species
AUUGAACGCUGGCGGCAUGCCUUACACAUGCAAGUCGAACGGUAGCGGGCCUUCGGGUGCCGACGAGUGGCGAACGGGUGAGUAAUGCAUCGGAACGUGCCAUUGAGUGGGGGAUAACGUAGCGAAAGUUACGCUAAUACCGCAUAUUCUGUGAGCAGGAAAGCAGGGGACCGCAAGGCCUUGCGCUCUUUGAGCGGCCGAUGUCAGAUUAGCUAGUUGGUGAGGUAAAGGCUUACCAAGGCAACGAUCUGUAGCGGGUCUGAGAGGAUGAUCUGCCACACUGGAACUGAGACACGGUCCAGACUCCUACGGGAGGCAGCAGUGGGGAAUUUUGGACAAUGGGGGCAACCCUGAUUCAGCCAUGCCGCGUGAGUGAAGAAGGCCUCGG